rnacentral:rRNA from 1 species
UACGUAGGGUGCGAGCGUUGUCCGGAAUUAUUGGGCGUAAAGGGCUCGUAGGCGGUUUGUCGCGUCGGGAGUGAAAUCCACUGGCUUAACUGGUGGCUUGCUUUCGAUACGGGCAGACUGGAGGUAUGCAGGGGGAGAACGGAAUUCCUGGUGUAGCGGUGAAAUGCGCAGAUAUCAGGAGGAACACCCAUGGCGAAGGCAGCUAACUGGGCAUUAUCUGACGCUGAGGCGCGAAAGCGUGGGUAGCAAACAGG